CGUACUUCUAUUCUUCUUCUUCUCUCUGCCACUGCCUUACUCCCUUCAAACCCGGCGGCUACUGUCGCCGCCAGCCACCACUGCCACGGUAUCCCCUCUGUAGGCCUCGCAUCUGCCUGCCUCUCGUUCCCUCUCUAAAUCAUGAAAAAUCCCCAAAAAUCCCUAGCUUUCUCCCCUUUCAAUUUCCGACGAGAUUACCGCCUGAACCACCAUCUUCUUCUUCAGUCGACAGCAACGGUCAGCCGGACCGCCGUCAUCCUCCCUCAUCUCUCAAGCCUCUAUCACCGUCUCCCUCUCGACUCCGAUGAGCAGCCGCUAUGAAUCCCCGCCGCCUUCACCGCUUCCCUCCAUACUAAUAUAAAGAUUCGAUUUUUCCUCUUCCCUUCCAUUUCUUCACUCGAGCUCCAUCCCUGCUCUCCAACAAGACUUCACUCAAAAGGGUAUGUGGAUAUCAACUCUUCCUUUCUGAAUUAAUGAAUCAAUNUUCAUUAACUGACAUUCCGGAGUUCACGGCGGUCGUGACCACGGUUCGAGCCAUUUUACGUGAGCUUCCAUCGUCCCCUGGCCUGUCGUGCCCAUCGUGCCCACGGGCGGGGGCAAUCGACCGUCGUGGGCACGGUCGCUGGUGUCGACGGGCACGAUGGUGCGAAGAAACGACGGGCACGAUGGUGCGACCACUGCUACAAAAAUACACAUACAUAACACUGCAUACAUAACGGGUUUUUUAAAAAACCGUUAUGUAUGAGCGCAUUUUUAUAAAAGUACAACGGUUUUUACAGAAAUCCAUUAUCUAUGUAGUGUUACUCAUAAGCAUAGAUAACGGUACGAAGUAAUUCGUUAUGAAUAAGCGUUAUCUAUUAGGUGCAUACAUAACGGUGUUAUCGAACCGUUAAGAUAACCGUUAUCUAUGAGCGUAUUUUUAUUAAUGGUUGUUUUAACCGUUAUGUAUGAGCGCUAAAUACUGUUAUGAUUACUUUUAUUAUUAUUUUAAUUUAACUUUAAUAAUAUUAUAAAAAUAAAAACCCUAAUUACAUAAUUCACCUUCUUCUCCAAAGUUUGAAGUCUCACCCACCACUCUCUCUCUCUCUCGCCGUACUCCUAUCUUCUUCUUCUCUCUGCCACAGCCUUACUCCCUUCAAACCCGGCGGCUACUGUCGCCGCCAUCCACCACCGCCAUGGUAUCCCCUCUGUAGGCCUCGCAUCUGCCUGCCUCUCGUUCCCUCUCUAAAUCAUGAAAAAUCCCCAAAAAUCCCUAGCUUUCUUCCCUUUCAAUUUCCGACGAGAUUACCGCCUGAACCACCCUCUUCUUCUUCAGUCGACAGCAACGGUCAGCCGUACCGCCGUCAUCCUCCCUCAUCUCUCAAGCCUCUAUCACCGUCUCCCUCUCGACUCCGAUGAGCAGCCGCUAUGAAUCCCCGCCGCCUUCACCGCUUCCCUCCAUACUAAUAUAAAGAUUCGAUUUUUCCUCUUUCCCUUCCAUUUCUUCACUCGAGCUCCAUCCCUGCUCUCCAACAAGACUUCACUCAAAAGGGUAUGUGGAUAUCAACUCUUCCUUUCUGAAUUAAUGAAUCAAUUGGUAGUUAGA
rnacentral:lncRNA from 1 species